GGCUGUGUUGCAAACAUCCAGAGGAAUGCACUGAAACCAACCAUGACUAUAUAAACAAUUGUUUUACGGGGGUAAUCACAUCGAAUGCUCCGUAAAAAAAUUGAUAGAGAUAGAAUUCACGGCACAAACGGUUUACAAAAUGUUUCGAUUUAGGCUAUAAAAAUUGACUUUAUCAAAGAAAACGGCACUUCAUUUGAUCACUGGGACCCUCAGGAAGAGAAAUAAGAGCAAGAUAUCAGAAUGAUGGCUUCCUGAAAUUCCCCCAAGCAGCUGAUUGGUUGGCCAUUGCUAAUUGGAGCUGACCCCGCCCUCUCGUCAGAGGAUACAGCUGUAUAUAAGCCAGUGUUCCUUUAUUAGGAAAGAGCUGAGGGUAAUAGCCUGUUUUGGUUGGUUCUUAGAAAGAGCUCAGGGUUAUCAUAUGUUGGUGGUUUUUCAGAUGGUACAUGCCAGAUCUCUAUGUUAGUUGUUGCUGAGAGAGACCUGAUGGUUAUGUUCUGUGUUAAUUUGUUGCUCAGUCAGAGCUUAUUUAAUGUCUUUUGUUUUUGAGGUUUUUUUGUGUGAAAUUGUAAUAUUCUGUUUCAUUUGUUCCCAGGGGGGAAGGCACCUAGGUAUUGCUUAGGCAAGAGGUCUGGGCGCACACAUAACCCGUAGUAUUUACUGUCUAUACACACUAUGUAAGACCUGGGUGGACCACCCCCUGUAUUUUGGUUAGUACACCGCGUGGUGGUUAGGCAGGUAAGGUAGGAGAGGGGGCUUUGACAUUUAUGUUCUUUGCUUUGGUUCCGUUCAGCCCCCUUUCCCCAAAUUUACCGUGUGAAGGAAUAAAUUCCCUGUAAACGGUAAA